rnacentral:rRNA from 1 species
AUGCUGGAUUAUGUUCAGAACAUGCCUUCCGACGUGAGUGACUCUGAAGACACGUCUAUUGGUGAAGCUAAUGCUAUCUGUCUGUCUGCUGCUACUUUGGGAGAUAACUCAGAUCCAGCAGUAUCAACCAUGAAAUUGAAAGUAUACUUGCAAGGACAGCCGUUAAUAUUUCUGGUCGAUUCAGGCAGCACGCAUUCCUUUCUUGAUUGCACAGUAGCAACUUCAGUGCAAGGCAUAACUUCUAUGCCAAUUUACCUAGUUAAAGUGGCUAAUGGCAACACAGUUCCUUGUUCUCAACAGUUACUGAAUGGCAAGUGGUCCUAUGCUGGUCAUGAAUUUGUCAGUAACUUCAGAGUUUUUCCCUUGGGAUCUUACCAUGGUAUUUUGGGUUUAGAUUGGCUCGCUACUCACAGUCUAAUGCAGGUAGACUGGGCUGCCCAUUGGCUAUCCUUCCAGCAUUCAAACCAACAGGUUACACUAUUAGGUCAAGAUGCUGUUCCUCAGGUUUAUGCCAUGGUGGAACUGUCAGCCUUACUUGUGACUGAAAAUUUAGCUGUAUCUAAACUACCUUCUGAGAUACAAGCACUCCUAACUAAGUAUGCUCCUGUAUUUGAAGCUCCUUCUGGUCUACCUCCAAGGAGAAAGUAUGAUCACAAGAUUCCUUUAGUACCUGGAGCUCAACCAGUAUCCAGUAGGCCUUAUAGACUGCCUCCUGCUUUGAAAGAUGAAAUGGAAACGCAAGUGAAGGAAAUGUUAGAUGCUGGAAUUAUAAGACCCAGCACUAGUGCCUUUUCUUCUCCAAUGAUAUUAGUACAAAAGAAGGACAAAACAUGGAGACCUGUCUAUGAUUAUAGGAAACUGAAUGCUAUCACAGUCAAGAGCAAGUAUCCAAUUCCUGUCAUUAAUGAGUUGUUGGAUGAAUUAGCUGGGGCUUGUUGGUUUUCAAAACUGGAUCUUAGAGCAGGGUACCAUUAG